UGGGGAAUCUUGCGCAAUGGGCGAAAGCCUGACGCAGCCAUGCCGCGUGAAUGAUGAAGGUCUUAGGAUUGUAAAAUUCUUCCACCGGGGACGAUAAUGACGGUACCCGGAGAAGAAGCCCCGGCUAACUUCGUGCCAGCAGCCGCGGUAAUACGAAGGGGGCUAGCGUUGCUCGGAAUUACUGGGCGUAAAGGGCGCGUAGGCGGAUCGUUAAGUCAGAGGUGAAAUCCCAGGGCUCAACCCUGGAACUGCCUUUGAUACUGGCGAUCUUGAGUAUGAGAGAGGUAUGUGGAACUCCGAGUGUAGAGGUGAAAUUCGUAGAUAUUCGGAAGAACACCAGUGGCGAAGGCGACAUACUGGCUCAUUACUGACGCUGAGGCGCGAAAGCGUGGGGAGCAAACA
rnacentral:rRNA from 1 species